GCCUCCCCUCCGCCGCCACUCAGACUCCUACGGAGGCGAGCAUGGGAAGUGUUCGUCAAUAGGCGGCAAGCCUGACGACGCAACGCCGCGUGGAGGAGUGAAGAUCUUCGGUCGUAACUCCUUUCGAUCGAGACGAAUGGCCUCCGGGUGAACAGUCCGGAGGAAUGACGGUACCGAGAGAAGAAGCCCCGGCUAACUCCGUGCCAGCAGCCGCGGUAAUAC
rnacentral:rRNA from 1 species